AACAAACGCUGGCGGCGUGCCUAAUACAUGCAAGUCGAACGGGGAAAGCUUUCGGGUGAGUACUAGUGGCGCACGGGUGAGUAACGCGUGGAUAAUCUGCCUUAGAGUGGGGGAUAACUAGUCGAAAGAUUAGCUAAUACCGCAUAAGACCACAAGAACUGCGGUUCAAGAGGCCAAAGGUUUUUCGCUCUAAGAUGAGUCCGCGUAAGAUUAGCUAGUUGGUGAGGUAACGGCUCACCAAGGCAACGAUCUUUAACUGGUCUGAGAGGAUGAUCAGUCACACUGGAACUGAGACACGGUCCAGACUCCUACGGGAGGCAGCAGUAGGGAAUAUUGCACAAUGGAGGAAACUCUGAUGCAGCGACGCCGCGUGAGUGAUGAAGGCCUUCGGGUCGUAAAGCUCUGUCGCAGGGGAAUAACACAAUGAGUGUACCCUGUAAGAAAGGAUCGGCUAACUUCGUGCCAGCCGCCGCCGUAACAC
rnacentral:rRNA from 1 species